CUAGCCCCUCCCCUAACUACUAGUUGUGCGAAAUCAGGCCCGUGCCCAGUUAAUUGAUUCACCGUACGCGCAGUGCAAGAGCGGAGGGUACUAAUCCUGCUACGAAUAUCGCUCCACCACCAUGUUCAUCUCCGAGGGCCCCAGCGAACCCCACCACCAUCCGUCGACCUCUGACGCCUUAACAACCGCCGGCGCGAGGGCACAGGCUAUCCUUGGGGAAAAGAGGACCGUAAUAGGCGACUCCUCAGACUCUAUUAUCCUCUAAACCUCCAGUGAUCUAACUAACUAACCCAACUAGCUAUUCCCACACGCACGCACGCACGCACGCACGCACGAGCGGCCGGUACCCAAGAACGCACAGCUGCUGCGCCGCCGCCGCCUCCAGGAGGUCCUUCGACAGCCAGUGCCGCUGGUCCAAGGCGGCCUUCCACAGGCUGCGCUAGCGGCCGCUGCGCCGGCCGGCGAAGCGGCGCGCGGUGCCCCAGCACGUGCAGCUGCCGCGCGGCGGCCGGAGCCCGCACUGGGAGGUGGAGUGCGUCGACGUCACCGUCGUGUCGGUCUACCUGCGUCCUUUACACUAGACGCUGCUCCGCACCAUGCUAAGGCAGUCGUACGACCCCCUGAGCCGGCCGAGGCUGCUGCUGCUGUUGCUAAUGAGGUCGCAGUCACUUCUAGGAGAGGGCCUACUGCAGCGGCCGCCGUGCUCGCGCAGCGGCACGUUCCUGCGCCGCACGAACCGCCUGCGGCACGUGGCGGAGGCCUCGUAGCGGCUGCGCCUCCGCACGGUCCCGCUGGGGGGCCUCUUUCCGCUCCUGGGGCUGCGACGAGGACGAGGACCAGUACGGCGACGGCCACCGGACUUUCUUGGCGUCUCGCGCCGCAGGACGAGCGGAGCCGGAGAGGGCCCGAGCCAGGGCUCGGUGUUCCACGUCGGCUACGGCCAGCGGCCCAAGUCGGGCGUGGUGGUCUCCUUCUUUAGCCGGCAGCAGUCCGAGAGGAAGGCCUCCUCCAGCAUGCUCCCGCUACUCUACUGGCUUUACUGACCGAGCCGGUUCAUGGACAUGGCCGGCUCUCGCCCGGACUGCGACGGCACACGCCGGCCGCUCUUCGGCAGCCUCCCGACGACCAGCCGGGAGCUCGGCAGCCGCAAGUCCCAGUCUCCCCUCCCGAAGAAGUCUCUGUUCUCCUUUAGGGGUCGGGGUUUGACGAGGGGGAUGUGGGGCUAGCCUCGACUGUACAAACGGACGGGUUCCUUCCACGUGGUGUAGCGCGUCGUGUAGCGCGAGGGCAGCGAGUUCGGGGUGCUGCGGAAGGGGAGCGAGGAGUAACAGUUGUAAGUCAACGGAUGGAUGGGAUGAUCGUACAAGCCGCUCUUGCUGCCGCUGCCGCAAUCGGACCAGGACAUAAAGUUCUAUAGACUGUCGAAGCUGUUCCUCUAGAGAGGAGUCAAGGUCCUAUCGUAGUUCUCACAAUACUUGCUCCUUUACCUCUUCCAGUUCCCCAAGGGCCACCUGUCGUUGCACGGGAUGUGUCUCUCCGACUUUUAGGACCGGCCGUAACAUUUGGGACUUCUGGACGUCGAGUCGCGCCGGCUCUCCUCCGAACACGUCUGGAUGUUGGUCUUCGGCCACGACAGAUCCGGGGUCGUGUUUAAGAUGUUCCCGAGCUUGAUGAAGCUCUAGCUGUAGCUGCACGUGGCCAAGUCGAUGUAUAGCGCUUUCCCGGAGCUCUGGAAGGCCCUCGCCGACUUUGUACCACAGUAGCUAGAACCCGACUGGUAAGUCCGCGUCUUCCGGCUCCUCGAUGGACUCGUACACAACACGACGUACUCCGACUUGUUCAACCUAAAACGCCUGUUGCCCGUUUAUGGCUGCGAGUAUUGCAGAUCGCUACUUACUUCGACCCUUUACAUGACUGAAACUCUCACACUCUCUCUGUUCAACAUAUAUAGCCCUCUAUCUAAUCCUUGAUUGUGUUUAAACAAGCCAUUGUGAGAUAACUACCACGUUUAUUAGCUUCAAACGGGGGAAGGGGAGGGCUUACCGUUGACCUCGUUAAUACGGCAAAUUUCAACAAGUCUACAA
rnacentral:rRNA from 1 species